UGACAGUACUCCUACGGGGAGGCAGCAGUGGGGGAAUAUUGCACAAUGGGCGCAAGCCUGAUGCAGCCAUGCCGCGUGUGUGAAGAAGGCCUUCGGGUUGUUAAAGCAACUUUCAGUCGUGAGGAAGGUAGUGUAGUUAAUAGCUGCAUUAUUUGACGUUAGCGACAGAAGAAGCACCGGCUAACUCCGUGCCAGCAGCCGCGGUAAUACGGAGGGUGCGAGCGUUAAUCGGAAUUACUGGGCGUAAAGCGCAUGCAGGUGGUUUGUUAAGUCAGAUGUGAAAGCCCGGGGCUCAACCUCGGAAUAGCAUUUGAAACUGGCAGACUAGAGUACUGUAGAGGGGGGUAGGAAUUUCAGGUGUAGCGGUGAAAUGCGUAGAGAUCUGAAGGAAUACCGGUGGCGAAGGCGGCCCCCUGGACAGAUACUGACACUCAGAUGCGAAAGCGUGGGGAGCAAACAGGAUUAGAUACCCCUGGUAG
rnacentral:rRNA from 1 species